rnacentral:rRNA from 1 species
AGUGAACGCUGGCGGCGUGCCUAAUACAUGCAAGUCGAACGAUGAAGUCCUAGCUUGCUAGGCUGGAUUAGUGGCGCACGGGUGAGUAAUAUAUAGUUAAUCUGCCCUACACAGAGGAACAACAGUUGGAAACGGCUGCUAAUACCUCAUACUCCUAUUUGACAUAAGUUAAAUAGGGAAAGUCUUUUCGGUGUAGGAUGAGACUAUAUCGUAUCAGCUAGUUGGUAAGGUAAUGGCUUACCAAGGCUAUGACGCGUAACUGGUCUGAGAGGAUGAUCAGUCACAUUGGAACUGAGACACGGUCCAAACUCCUACGGGAGGCAGCAGUAAGGAAUAUUGCGCAAUGGGGGAAACCCUGACGCAGCAACGCCGCGUGGAGGAUGACACUUUUCGGAGCGUAAACUCCUUUUAUCAGGAAAGAAUAAUGACGGUACCUGAUGAAUAAGCACCGGCUAACUCCGUG